GUCUAGAGGCAUUUUUGAAUGGAAGAGACCAGAGUAAUUCUGUGAUUUAUGCAUGGUGUUUUUCCUCAGCAGCUGAUAUAGCCCAGUCACUUUUUCCCAG